UUCUGCCACCGAAUACAUUAGCAUGGGAUAAUGGAAUAGGACCCUGUCCUCCUAUUUUCAGUUGGUUUUGGCAGCGCGAGGACUAGGGUAAUGAUUAAUAGGGAUAGUUGGGGGCAUUAAUAUUUAAUUGUCAGAGGUGAAAUUCUUGGAUUUAUGAAAGAUUAACUUCUGCGAAAGCAUCUGCCAAGGAUGUUUUCAUUAAUCAAGAACGAAAGUUAGGGGAUCGAAGACGAUCAGAUACCGUCGUAGUCUUAACCAUAAACGAUGCCGACCAGCGAUUAGGAGACGUUGAAUACAAAACACCACCAUCGGUGCGGUCGUCCUUGGCGUCG
rnacentral:rRNA from 1 species